GUGUCUGAGUACCCCCGGUGUUUGAUUUUGAUCGGGGUCCGGGGUUGUCUCCAAAGAUGCUGUGGAGGUUUUAGAGUCGCUUGUCCUUCCCGGGGAACCGGGAGCGACAGGGAAAGACUUUUCUUCGAACAUGGUGGUGGUUCCAUCAUUGUGCCCAAAAAAAAAUCUACGCUCUACCGUGAUCCUCAGCAGUCCGGGGUUUGGGUAAAAAGGCACCAGUCCUGCUGCUUCUCCUGAAGUUUGACGCCUCAUCGCCCAUGGCGCACAAGCAGACGACAGUAUUUGUUCUAGGAGAAUUUAUUGCUUUUUAUUAGCCACUUUUUGCAAACAUGCGAGAGAGAAAAAAACCUCUCUGGCGCUGGCUCCUCUCUGCGGGGUAUUAUUGCUGUCCUUAUGUCUCCCAGUUAAGAUGAAACCUCCAAGCAGUUUCCAUGAAACUCCUCAGUCCAUCACGGCUCAUGCAGAACUACUGCAUCUCUGUGCGCACCCAUGGCGCACAGAUCUCCAGUAAUCCCUCCAUGGAGAUGAUCGAUCCAAUCCUUCUAAUGAGAUGUGAAAUUCAAUUAUCGCUCUUGAACAAAUCUGAUAUUUCCCCACCCCCUAAAAAUACAAAAAAAUAAAAUGAAAAAUGAUAAAGAUUCUUUUACUCCUGGCUCCCCGCAGCUUCAGUCAAGAUGGUCCAAAAGACAAUUUGAUAUUUGAGGAGAUGCCGUUUUCCUUCUCUAUUCGGGCCAUCAUCUCCUUGUCCUCAUAUUUGCAGGAGUUCGACGACAAACAUUUGCUUCAUCUCAGCGCGCUCUCCCUCUCCUCCUUCCUCUCUCCCUCUCUCCGCGGUGGAUGGGUGGUUGUUCCUUUUAUGCGCUCAUCCAUUAUGAUUUGCUCCAUGAGCUCGCAAUGCGCAUUUCCUUCGCCAAAAGACAACACAGCAAAUCGGUCAUUUGAUUUAUGAAACUUAAUUUUGUGGAAUUCAAAAUCCAGCUCCUUGUGUGUGAUUUUACAACAAGCAAAAGUUAAAACUAUUACUCUGUUUGCAAGACUUUUUCCUUUCUUUUCAGUCUCUUGUUUGUCUCAUCUUUGUGCGUCUGAAGUGCGUGUCAGCAUUAAAGGUGUCCCUAUUAUUGUUUCCACUGCUAUUUUUAAACAAGUCAAAGCCUUGCACUGUUUAUCAUUCUGCACGUAGUUAACAAAAGUGUCUGCUGUCUCCCCACCUUUACGUAAUAAAGCCCAAAACAUCAAUGAUACUGUUAGUUUGAUCAAUUUCAGGACAGGAGUUGCUUUAAAGCUAAAGGUUGAUCUUGUUUUAUGUGUCUUUUUAUUGUAUUAAAAAAGAACACAAAAGAUAAAUUCAAUAGUUUAUUGUUUGUUAAACUUAGAGGAAAUUAUUUUGUCUAUUUCCAAAGAAGCGUGUAGAUUUAAAAGCUUAAACUCAAGCAUCAGUUUCAUAUCCUCUCACAGCUGGAAUUUCCUUUGAUUAAAUCAAUUUAACAUAAAAAGAAAUGGGAAUUUUACAUUUCAGGAAGUUCAGACAGAAGCAAAACUGUCAAAAUCCCUGGAAUUUAUCCUUCAUUAUAAAUCAAAAACAUGGUCAAGCUGUGCCAUCUUGGUCAAAGUCAUUGGUGCCCUUGAAUGUCCUCUGUUUAAUUACUUUCCUGAAUCAAAAAUCAAAAACUUUGACCUCAAACUGAGUUUGGUGACACUGUUUGAGGAUUUCAGGCUUUUCUUAUUGCCCUCUGAGGAUUUCUUGCUUGUCCUCUUGGCCAUCAGAACCUGACCUGGUUCAGUCUGAAGUGAUUCAGAUCUCUCCAGGUCAAAAAUGUGCUUUUUGAUGAAAUAAUCACCUGUGAAAUUGUCAUUUGUUUGUUAAAAGCAUUUCUUGUGCCUUAAACGCCUCAUUCCACAUUAAUUAAAUACAACUUAAAACACUGUUGUUCUUUGAUGUUAGAUAAGUUCAAAUAUUUGGACAACAAAGUUCGUCAAUAGUGUAUGUGGUCAUUUUACUUCAUUAUAAUUGAGAAAAUAUAAUAUUUUUCAUUAAGUAAGAAACAUGAUAAAGUAAUAUCAUUUUAAUGUAAAUUCGUCCUUAUGGAAAUUGGACCUUAUGCCUCUCUCACAUAUAUUUUAAUAAAUGAAUACAAUCAUGCAAACCUGCCUGACUUGCAUUUAUUUACAGUCUUUCCAAAAAUGAUUCAUGAAUCAUCUAUAGGUACACUUUUACCAGACUAGGAGUGUAUUAAAUUGUGUUUCAUUCAAAAGAAACUGAAUGAGAAUUGUUGGGCAAUGUUAUCCAUUAAUUUCUUCUUUUUGACCUUCUGCAGCAAGGUUUUGUCCACACCUUCCUGUUCAUUUCCUGAAUUACCUCUAGAAAAUAAAAUCACCUGAUAAUUCUUCCAGUUUUCCAAUGCCUGAAGCUCCUGAGAAAAGAGUGAGGAUUCAGGAUUCUUACAGCUGUGCUCGCUCACGUAUCUUUUCUCAGUGAGGAUGUUUGCUGGAUUCAUCAUCGAGCUUCAGCCUUGAAGAGCCUUCAGAUUUCCAAAGAAGGGCAGAAAAUGGGACAUCUGGGUUGCUCUGCUUGUUGCCACUGGUGACCCUCCGGCAGAAAAGAUGCUAAAAAAUGAAAUAAACAGGAAGAUGUGUGGAUGCACUGUUAACCUCCUUUUCCUCUGCCAGCAGUGUGAAUUCUCACAGGAGCAAAGCUGUCAGUGAAAUAAGUGGUAGUUCUGGCAGAUUAUUACUAGAAGACAGCUUCUGGACUGACAAAAUUUUAGGAAGUUGAUUUACACAAGGGGACUCAUUCUGAAAAGUAAUGAUGGUUAAAUGUGAGUCUGCAGGACCAUAGAAAGUGGGGAGUCGUGCUUUGCUAAUGUUCUGCCCACAGCUGCAGAGCUUGAUGUGCAGCAGGCUCUACUUUAGCAGGAGAUGAGCCUCACUGGGGAGGUGGUGUCAGUAAGAAUUUCCUGAAAGUCCACCUUUUCCUUGGAGUCAGCUGAAAGCAUUCUCCCAAAUGUCCCCAAAAGGUGGUGCCUCCAUGCUGGCACUUUCAAACAGAAGAAAGGACAUGGUCACAGAGGAGCAAAAGGCAUACCAGAUGACUUUCAUUAAAUAUGCAUGCAAAAAAAAA